rnacentral:rRNA from 1 species
CNNNNNNUGCAAGUCGAGCGGACAGAAGGGAGCUUGCUCCCGGAUGUUAGCGGCGGACGGGUGAGUAACACGUGGGUAACCUGCCUGUAAGACUGGGAUAACUCCGGGAAACCGGAGCUAAUACCGGAUAGUUCCUUGAACCGCAUGGUUCAAGGAUGAAAGACGGUUUCGGCUGUCACUUACAGAUGGACCCGCGGCGCAUUAGCUAGUUGGUGGGGUAAUGGCUCACCAAGGCGACGAUGCGUAGCCGACCUGAGAGGGUGAUCGGCCACACUGGGACUGAGACACGGCCCAGACUCCUACGGGAGGCAGCAGUAGGGAAUCUUCCGCAAUGGACGAAAGUCUGACGGAGCAACGCCGCGUGAGUGAUGAAGGUUUUCGGAUCGUAAAGCUCUGUUGUUAGGGAAGAACAAGUGCGAGAGUAACUGCUCGCACCUUGACGGUACCUAACCAGAAAGCCACGGCUAACUACGUGCCAGCAGCCGCGGUAAUACGUAGGUGGCAAGCGUUGUCCGGAAUUAUUGGGCGUAAAGGGCUCGCAGGCGGUUUCUUAAGUCUGAUGUGAAAGCCCCCGGCUCAACCGGGGAGGGUCAUUGGAAACUGGGAAACUUGAGUGCAGAAGAGGAGAGUGGAAUUCCACGUGUAGCGGUGAAAUGCGUAGAGAUGUGGAGGAACACCAGUGGCGAAGGCGACUCUCUGGUCUGUAACUGACGCUGANGAGCGAAAGCGUGGGGAGCGAACAGGAUUAGAUACCCUGGUAGUCCACGCCGUAAACGAUGAGU